GCAAGUCUGGUGCCAGCAGCCGCGGUAAUUCCAGCUCCAAUAGCGUAUAUUAAAGUUGUUGAGGUUAAAAAGCUCGUAGUUGAACCUUGGGCCUAGCCGGCCGGUCCGCCUCACCGCGUGCACUGGCUCGGCUGGGCCUUUCCUUCUGGAGAACCGCAUGCCCUUCACUGGGUGUGCUGGGGGACCAGGACUUUUACUCUGAACAAAUUAGAUCGCUUAAAGAAGGCCUAUGCUCGAAUACAUUAGCAUGGAAUAAUAGAAUAGGACGUGUGGUUCUAUUUUGUUGGUUUCUAGGACCGCCGUAAUGAUUAAUAGGGACAGUCGGGGGCAUCAGUAUUCAACAGUCAGAGGUGAAAUUCUUGGAUUUGUUGAAGACUAACUACUGCGAAAGCAUUUGCCA
rnacentral:rRNA from 1 species